rnacentral:rRNA from 1 species
ACUCUCAGCAACGGAUAUCUUGGCUCUUGCCACGAUGAAGAACGCAGCGAAUUGCGAUACGUGAUGUGAAUUGCAGAACUCCGUGAAUCAUUGAAUCUUUGAACGCAACUUGCGCCCGGGGCUUGUCCGAAGGGCAUGUCUGGCUGAGCGUCUA